AUUGAACGCUGGCGGCAGGCCUAACACAUGCAAGUCGAACGGUAACAGGGAUCAGCUUGCUGAUUCGCUGACGAGUGGCGGAAGGGUGAGUAAUGUCUGGGAAACUGCCUGAUGGAGGGGGAUAACUACUGGAAACGGUAGCUAAUACCGCAUAACGUCGCAAGACCAAAGAGGGGGACAUUCGGGCCUCUUGCCAUCGGAUGUGCCCAGAUGGGAUUAGCUAGUAGGUGGGGUAACGGCUCACCUAGGCGACGAUCCCUAGCUGGUCUGAGAGAAUGACCGGCCGCACGGGAGCUGGAACACGGUCCAUACUCCUACGGGAGGCAGCAGUGUGGAAUAUUGCGCAAUGGGCGCAAGCCUUAUGCAGCCAUGCCGCGUGUAUGAAAAAGGCCUUCGGGUUGUAAAGUACUUUCAGCGGGUAGGAAGGGAGUAAAGUUAAUACCUUUGCUCAUUGACGUUACCCGCAGAAGAAGCACCGGCUAACUCCGUG
rnacentral:rRNA from 1 species